rnacentral:rRNA from 1 species
GACAACCUGGUUGAUCCUGCCAGUAGUCAUAUGCUUGUCUCAAAGAUUAAGCCAUGCAUGUCUCAGUACAAGCCAAAAUAAGGUGAAACCGCGAAAGGCUCAUUAAAUCAGUUAUGGUUCCUUAGAUCGUACCAACAUUUACUUGGAUAACUGUGGUAAUUCUAGAGCUAAUACAUGCAAACAGAGCUUCGACCGGAGACGGAAGAGGCGCUUUUAUUAGAUCAAAACCAAUCGGCGGCGGGUUCGCUUGCGGGCUCGUCGUCGUUUUCACUGACGAAUCUGAAUAACUUUCUGCUGAUCGCACGGUCUCGCACCGGCGACGCAUCUUUCAAAUGUCUGCCUUAUCAACUGUCGAUGGUAGGUUCUGUGCCUACCAUGGUUGUAACGGGUAACGGGGAAUCAGGGUUCGAUUCCGGAGAGGGAGCCUGAGAAACGGCUACCACAUCCAAGGAAGGCAGCAGGCGCGCAAAUUACCCACUCCCGGCACGGGGAGGUAGUGACGAAAAAUAACGAUACGGGACUCAUCCGAGGCCCCGUAAUCGGAAUGAGAACAAUUUAAAUCCUUUAACGAGGAUCAAUUGGAGGGCAAGUCUGGUGCCAGCAGCCGCGGUAAUUCCAGCUCCAAUAGCGUAUAUUAAAGUUGUUGCGGUUAAAAAGCUCGUAGUCGAAUCUGUGUCCCGCGCCGCCGGUUCGUCGCUCGCGGCGUUUAACUGGCGUGUCCGCGGGACGUCCUGCCGGUGGGCUUAGCCUUUUCAUUAAGGCGGCCCAAUCUUAAUCCCGCCGCGGUGCUCUUCACCGAGUGUCGAGGCGGGCCGGCACGUUUACUUUGAACAAAUUAGAGUGCUUAAAGCAGGCUAAAACUUCGCCUGAAUACUUCGUGCAUGGAAUAAUGGAAUAGGACCUCGGUUCUAUUUUGUUGGUUUUCGGAACCCCGAGGUAAUGAUUAAUAGGAACGGAUGGGGGCAUUCGUAUUGCGACGUUAGAGGUGAAAUUCUUGGAUCGUCGCAAGACGGACAGAAGCGAAAGCAUUUGCCAAAAACGUUUUCAUUGAUCAAGAACGAAAGUUAGAGGUUCGAAGGCGAUCAGAUACCGCCCUAGUUCUAACCAUAAACGAUGCCAGCUAGCGAUCCGCCGACGUUCCUCCNAUGACUCGGCGGGCAGCUUCCGGGAAACCAAAGCUUUUGGGUUCCGGGGGAAGUAUGGUUGCAAAGCUGAAACUUAAAGGAAUUGACGGAAGGGCACCACCAGGAGUGGAGCCUGCGGCUUAAUUUGACUCAACACGGGAAACCUCACCAGGCCCGGACACCGGAAGGAUUGACAGAUUGAGAGCUCUUUCUUGAUUCGGUGGGUGGUGGUGCAUGGCCGUUCUUAGUUGGUGGAGCGAUUUGUCUGGUUAAUUCCGAUAACGAACGAGACUCA